UACGUAGGGUGCAAGCGUGUCCGGAAUUAUUGGGCGUAAAGAGCUCGUAGGCGGUUUGUUGCGUCGGCUGUGAAAUCCCGAGGCUCAACCUCGGGUCUGCAGUCGAUACGAGCAAACUAGAGUGUUGCAGGGGAGACUGGAAUUCCUGGUGUAGCGGUGAAAUGCGCAGAUAUCAGGAGGAACACCGGUGGCGAAGGCGGGUCUCUGGGCAACAACUGACGCUGGAG
rnacentral:rRNA from 1 species